CCUGGUGGCGAGUGGCGAACGGGUGAGUAAUAUAUCGGAACAUGCCCUGAAGUGGGGGAUAACGUAGCGAAAGUUACGCUAAUACCGCAUAUUCUGUGAGCAGGAAAGCAGGGGAUCGCAGGACCUUGCGCUUUAGGAGUGGCCGAUAUCGGAUUAGCUAGUUGGUGAGGUAAAGGCUCACCAAGGCGACGAUCCGUAGCGGGUCUGAGAGGAUGAUCCGCCACACUGGGACUGAGACACGGCCCAGACUCCUACGGGAGGCAGCAGUGGGGAAUUUUGGACAAUGGGCGCAAGCCUGAUCCAGCCAUGCCGCGUGAGUGAAGAAGGCCUUCGGGUUGUAAAGCUCUUUCGGUUGGGAAGAAAUUGCACUGGUUAAUACCUAGUGUAGAUGACGGUACCAGCAUAAGAAGCACCGGCUAACUACGUGCCAGCAGCCGCGGUAAUACGUAGGGUGCGAGCGUUAAUCGGAAUUACUGGGCGUAAAGCGUGCGCAGGCGGUUGUGUAAGUCAGAUGUGAAAGCCCCGGGCUCAACCUGGGA
rnacentral:rRNA from 1 species